rnacentral:lncRNA from 1 species
UAAUAUGUGAUGCUCCCAAUAAGGCAACUCAAAAAAAAUACUUCUUUUCUUCCACAAGUCCGCCUCAUUAGGGUCAUCCUCCUCGUCAGAUUCAUCAUUAGAUUCAUCCCUCGAUCGUCUAUUUGUUUGCCUGUUAGAUGGUUGAUUCAGCUUCCCGUAACUAAAAUCCAUAUCUUUUAACAUGAAUAAGAUUUCAGAUCCAAUUGUCUGCUCGGGAGCUUCUUUCAACUCUUCAGUACCGUCAAAUAAAGCCCUCUAAAAUCUAUAGCUAUGAUUUUCAUCUAACCACCGACGAUGCCCCAUAUAGCAGAACUUCUUCCCAUUAUAUAACCACUGUGAACACGUUUGAGCAGCACAACAAGGACAAGCAUAACGUCCUC